GUAGUCUCGCACAGAUGCAUAUCAAUAAGCGGAGGAAAAGAAACUAACAAGGAUUCCCUCAGUAACGGCGAGUGAAGCGGGAAGAGCUCAAAUUUGAAAUCUUGAAAGGUCACCUUUCACGAAUUGUAGUUUAAAGAAGUGUUUUCUGUUACGAUCGUAAUAUAAGUUCUUUGGAAUAGGACAUCAUAGAGGGUGAGAAUCCCGUAUUUGACCAUUAUUUUCAGCUUUGUGAUACACUUUCAAAGAGUCGGAUUGUUUGGGAAUGCAGUCCAAAAUGGGUGGUAAAUUUCAUCUAAAGCUAAAUAUUGGCGAGAGACCGAUAGCGAACAAGUACCGUGAGGGAAAGAUGAAAAGAACUUUGAAAAGAGAGUUAAACAGUACGUGAAAUUGUCAAAAGGGAAGCGUUUGACACCAGUGUUGUUUUCUGAAAAUCAACCUCUGUUAGCUUUAUGCAUGUUUGUUUAGACCUAAUCAGCUAUCUUGCAUGUUCUAUUGUUUGCAGUGGUGCACUUUUCAGUUUACAGGUCAACAUCAGUUUUUUUUACCGUAAAAAAGUUAAAGAAAGGUAGCUCAUGGCUCCGGUCGUGAGUGUUAUAGUCUUUUUCCUAUGCGGUAGGAGAGACUGAGGUCUGCAGUGUAGGCUAUUUGGCUAGAUACUCAGGUGCUAUGUGAUACCAUUUCAUAAACAACUUGUUGAUUAUGUUUUGUCUAUUGCAUACUCGCUUGUACUAUCAUACCUACGCUUAGGAUGUUGAGUCGUAGAGCACGCAG
rnacentral:rRNA from 1 species